rnacentral:rRNA from 1 species
CAAAUUGAGAGUUUGAUCCUGGCUCAGGAUGAACGCUGGCGGCGUGCCUAAUACAUGCAAGUCGAACGCUUUGUGGUUCAACUGAUUUGAAGAGCUUGCUCAGAUAUGACGAUGGACAUUGCAAAGAGUGGCGAACGGGUGAGUAACACGUGGGAAACCUACCUCUUAGCAGGGGAUAACAUUUGGAAACAGAUGCUAAUACCGUAUAACAAUAGCAACCGCAUGGUUGCUACUUAAAAGAUGGUUCUGCUAUCAC